CAGCAGCCGCGGUAACACGUAGGGUGCAAGCGUUAAUCGGAAUUACUGGGCGUAAAGCGUGCGCAGGCGGUUAUAUAAGACAGAUGUGAAAUCCCCGGGCUCAACCUGGGAACUGCAUUUGUGACUGUAUAGCUAGAGUACGGCAGAGGGGGAUGGAAUUCCGCGUGUAGCAGUGAAAUGCGUAGAUAUGCGGAGGAACACCGAUGGCGAAGGCAAUCCCCUGGGCCUGUACUGACGCUCAUGCACGAAAGCGUGGGGAGCAAACAGGAUUAGAGACCCGAGUAGUCCCUGUCUCUUAUAC
rnacentral:rRNA from 1 species